rnacentral:rRNA from 1 species
GUGGGGAAUCUUGCGCAAUGGGCGAAAGCCUGACGCAGCCAUGCCGCGUGAAUGAUGAAGGUCUUAGGAUUGUAAAAUUCUUUCACCGGGGACGAUAAUGACGGUACCCGGAGAAGAAGCCCCGGCUAACUUCGUGCCAGCAGCCGCGGUAAUACGAAGGGGGCUAGCGUUGCUCGGAAUUACUGGGCGUAAAGGGCGCGUAGGCGGACAGUUUAGUCAGAGGUGAAAGCCCAGGGCUCAACCUUGGAAUUGCCUUUGAUACUGGCUGUCUUGAGUACGGGAGAGGUGAGUGGAACGCCGAGUGUAGAGGUGAAAUUCGUAGAUAUUCGGAAGAACACCAGUGGCGAGGGCGACUCACUGGCCCGUUACUGACGCUGAGGCGCGAAAGCGUGGGGAGCAAACAGGAUUAGAUACCCGUGUAGUCC